UCCAGAAGCAAUCCUGAAGACACCAUGGCCAAGCUCAUUCUUGUCACAGGUCUGGCAAUUCUUCUGAAUGUACAGCUGGGAUCUUCCUACCAGCUGAUGUGCUACUAUACCAGUCGGGCUAAGGACAGGCCAAGAGAAGGGAGUUUCAAACCUGGUAAUAUUGACCCCUGCCUGUGUACUCACCUGAUCUAUGCCUUUGCUGGGAUGGAGAAUAAUGAGAUCACUUACGCA